UACUCUGGUGAAGCACUUGGACAAAGGGCAGCAUGUUUGAAGAACUCUCCCAGGUUUGAAAUAAUGACACUGAUCUGGCGUUCUGGAAACACUGGGUGCUGGAAUUAAAAUGCAGCCCCGCACAGAGGAGAAAGGCCGGCCUCUCGAUUGCCCCGCGGAGCCAGAGUUGGUGUGAGAUGAGAAUGCAAUCACUGCCACCGCCAGCAGAUUCUCAGCCCGGUUUUAUCGAGAGCUGCACAAAAAAUUGAUCUGCAAUCAAGCUCUGUUUGUUUUUAAAAUCCCUGAACAUCUAAGAAGCCUAUUUUAGUCUGUCAAGUUGAGCAGACACUCGCCUCUUUUAUACAAAUAACAGUAAAACCCAGACCUGGGAUAA